rnacentral:rRNA from 1 species
GAUGAACGCUAGCUACAGGCUUAACACAUGCAAGUCGAGGGGAAACGAUAGAGAAAGCUUGCUUUUUCUAGGCGUCGACCGGCGCACGGGUGAGUAACGCGUAUCCAACCUGCCCUUCACCACGGAAUAAUCCAGUGAAAAUUGGUCUAAUACCGUAUGAGGUCAUACGAUGGCAUCAGAAUAUGACGAAAGGUUUAGCGGUGAAGGAUGGGGAUGCGUCUGAUUAGCUUGUUGGUGAGGUAACGGCUCACCAAGGCGACGAUCAGUAGGGGUUCUGAGAGGAAGGUCCCCCACAUUGGAACUGAGACACGGUCCAAAACUCCUACGGGAGGCAGCAGUGAGGAAUAUUGGUCAAUGGGCGAGAGCCUGAACCAGCCAAGUAGCGUGCAGGAUGACGGCCCUAUGGGUUGUAAACUGCUUUUAUAAGGGAAUAAAGUUAGGGAUGGUAUCCUUUUUGCAGGUACCGCAUGAAUAAGGACCGGCGUAAUUCCGUG